rnacentral:lncRNA from 1 species
GGUGACUCGAAGAAGCCUUCCAAAAAGCGUGUGAAAAGGAAGCCCUACUCUACUACCAAGGUGACUUCAGGGAGCACAUUCAAUGAGAAUACAAGAAGAUAUGCUGUGCACACCAACCAGUGUAGGAGACCUCAUGGCUCCCGGGUAAAGAAGAAGAGGUACCCACAAGAAGAUGACUUCCAUCAUACAGUCUUCAGCAAUCUUGAAAGAUUGGACAAGCUUCAGCCCACUCUUGAAGCCUCUGAGGAGUCUCUAGUUCACAAGGACAGAGGAGAUGGAGAGAGGCCAGUCAACGUGAGGGUGGUGCAGGUGGCCCCUCUGAGGCAUGAAUCUAGUAAGUAUUCUGGAAUCACUUGCCAAGAAAACAAUCUGGAUGCCAAGAAAGGUGUGGCAUCCUUGCCUGGUUUCAAUGUGAAGAGCCACCCUGAUCCUGGGAUUGUGAUAGGAAUAAGUAUAGGGGAAGUGUUUUUUUAA